rnacentral:rRNA from 1 species
GGGUCAGUAGGUUGGUCGUGCCACCGGUACGUACUGGUCUCACUGAUUCCUCCUCCCUGAGGAACCGUAAUGCCAUUAAUUUGGUGUUGCGGGGAAACAGGACUGUUACUUUGAAAAAAUUAGAAUGUUUAAAGCAAGCUAACGCUUGAAUACAUUAGCAUGGAAUAAUGAAAUAGGGCGAUCGAUCCUAUUUUGUUGGUUUCUAGGAUUGACGUA